rnacentral:rRNA from 1 species
ACGGAGGGGGCUAGCGUUGUUCGGAAUUACUGGGCGUAAAGCGCACGUAGGCGGAUCAGUCAGUCAGGGGUGAAAUCCCGGGGCUCAACCCCGGAACUGCCUUUGAUACUGCUGGUCUGGAGGUCGAGAGAGGUGAGUGGAAUUCCGAGUGUAGAGGUGAAAUUCGUAGAUAUUCGGAGGAACACCAGUGGCGAAGGCGGCUCACUGGCUCGAUACUGACGCUGAGGUGCGAAAGCGUGGGGAGCAAACAGG